rnacentral:rRNA from 1 species
UACAGAGGGUGCGAGCGUUAAUCGGAAUUACUGGGCGUAAAGCGCGCGUAGGCGGCCCUGUAAGUCCGUUGUGAAAGUCAAAGGCUCAACCUUUGAAAGCCGAUGGAUACUGCAGGGCUAGAGUCCGGAAGAGGCGAGUGGAAUUCCUGGUGUAGCGGUGGAAUGCGCAGAUAUCAGGAGGAACACCAAUAGCGAAGGCAGCUCGCUGGGACGGUACUGACGCUAAGGCGCGAAAGCGUGGGGAGCGAACAGG